CGUACACUCCUGCGGGAGGCAGCAGUGGGGAAUAUUGCACAAUGGGCGCAAGCCUGAUGCAGCCAUGCCGCGUGUAUGAAGAAGGCCUUCGGGUUGUAAAGUACUUUCAGCGGGGAGGAAGGCAAUACGGUUAAUAACCGUGUUGAUUGACGUUACCCGCAGAAGAAGCACCGGCUAACUCCGUGCCAGCAGCCGCGGUAAUACGGAGGGUGCAAGCGUUAAUCGGAAUUACUGGGCGUAAAGCGCACGCAGGCGGUCUGUCAAGUCGGAUGUGAAAUCCCCGGGCUCAACCUGGGAACUGCAUUCGAAACUGGCAGGCUUGAGUCUUGUAGAGGGGGGUAGAAUUCCAGGUGUAGCGGUGAAAUGCGUAGAGAUCUGGAGGAAUACCGGUGGCGAAGGCGGCCCCCUGGACAAAGACUGACGCUCAGGUGCGAAAGCGUGGGGAGCAAACAGGAUUAGAUACCCCAGUAGUCCC
rnacentral:rRNA from 1 species